GACGAACGCUGGCGGUGUGCUUAACACAUGCAAGUCGAACGGUAAGGCCCUUUCGGGGGUACACGAGUGGCGAACGGGUGCGUAACACGUGAGUAACCUGCCCUCAUCUCUGGGAUAACAGUCGGAAACGGUUGCUAAUACUGGAUAUGAGCUUGCAAGGCAUCUUGUGGGUUGGAAAGAUUUUUUUGGUUGGGAAUGGACUCGCGGCCUAUCAGCUUGUUGGUGAGGUAGUGGCUCACCAAGGCUUCGACGGGUAGCCGGCCUGAGAGGGCGACCGGCCACAUUGGGACUGAGAUACGGCCCAAACUCCUACGGGAGGCAGCAGUGGGGAAUAUUGCACAAUGGACGGAAGUCUGAUGCAGCAACGCCGCGUGCGGGAUGACGGCCUUCGGGUUGUAAACCGCUUUCAAUUGUGACGAAGCUUUUUGUGACGGUAGCAGUAGAAGAAGCACCGGCUAACUACGUG
rnacentral:rRNA from 1 species